rnacentral:rRNA from 1 species
UACGUAGGGGCCGAGCGUUGUCCGGAUUCAUUGGGCGUAAAGAGCGUGUAGGCGGCCGCUUAAGUCCUGCGUGAAAUCUCGGAGCUCAACUCCGAGCGGUCGUGGGAAACUGGGCGGCUAGAGUGCGGGAGAGGAGAGUGGAAUUCCUGGUGUAGCGGUGGAAUGCGCAGAUAUCAGGAAGAACACCCGUGGCGAAGGCGGCUCUCUGGAACGCAACUGACGCUGAGACGCGAAAGCGUGGGGAGCGAACAGG